GAUUAGGAUAUUCCUAUUAAUUAACUCUCUGACAACGGAAAAAACUUUUCUUUGUUAUUGGUUGAGUUUACCGCUUUGACCAGGUGUAAUGUUCAUAUGAUAUACUUCGCACGCGCGCUCUUCCCACAUCCAACAUAUUGAGCUUCAAUUGUCAAUGCCAGUAGUUUUGAGAGGGAGUUUAUAUAUAUAGAUAUGCCACAAAUGAAAAAGUGGUCGGUUCGCGUAAGGCAAGGAAAGGCGUAUGUAUAUGUUGCUGGAAAGCCGCUAACAAAGACAGGCGUCGAGUAUCAUCAGUGCUGCCGGCGUGAAAAAUGAGGAUAAUAAGCCUCUCAAUUAAGGGAAUAUAUUAGCAGGCAUGAACGAGACUGUUGAAGCAUUUGUUGUCUUCAUGCAUGCUUCGGUAUCUGGGCGAAUUCUGCCAGAACACUUCAACUUCACGUUUGGCAAGGUCCCAAAGUUCAUUUGUGUCAAUUCGGCAAACAGAGAAUUUGAGACAUGUUUGCGGCUGGUAGAAAUGUUCAGUCACUCGGGUGACUGGAUAUUGGAUGUUGAUUUACCCGAAGCUGGCGGUGUUGCAGCAGUCACGAUCAAACGCAAUUGCCUCAUUCUGGUAAAAACAGAAGAGGAGGAACGAGAGGCCAGGCGAAAGUUGAAAGAACUUUAGAACCUAUAAAUCUAUAUAUAUAUUAUAUAUCUUCAUUGUGUGCUGGGUAUUCCCGGCUCUA